ensembl:lncRNA
AGGCAGACAGUGAGACAGUAAAACAGACAGUGAGACGGGCAGAGAGUCAGACAGUAAGGCAGACAGUGAGACAGUAAUGCAGACAGUGAGACGGGCAGAGAGUCAGACAGUAGGCAGACAGUGAGAUGGGCAGAGAGUCAGACAGUAAGGCAGACAGUGAGACGUAAAAAAGAGUGUGACAGGCAGACAGUAGGACAGGCAGACAGUAAGGCAGACAGUAAGGCAGACAGUGAGACAGUAAAAAAGAGUGUGACAGGCAGACAGUAGGACAGGCAGACAGUAAGGCAGACAGUGAGACAGCCAGAAUGUUGUCGUCAGCAGUGCAGUAACUCCGAGAAUAUCAGGGUGUGUGUUGUAAGACCACCGAUCAACUCAAAACGUGCGAUUUGUAUCCAGUGAUUAUUCCAGUGGUCACCAACCCUCGUCCUGGAGAACCUCCUGGAGAUCCUCCUUCCCGCAGGUUUCAUCUCCGACCAAAAUCUAACACCUGUUUUAGUCGAUCGAGAACUUCUUAAGGCAGAGAUUAGACGGUCAGGUGGUCACGACUAUGCUUGGAGCUCACGUCUUCAGGGAGGUAGAUCUCCAGGAACAGGGUUGGUGACCGCCGGACUACACGAAUCCAAGCGUGCAGCUGAGCAGACGAGGUUCUCGUGUCUACAGGUCAGUACUGGGACUUGAAUCCGUGACGUUCCGGUCUUCCUCUGCCGGGUGUGUCUCCUGCAACCUCCUGAUUCAUCUUACUCCUCUUCUUUGCAUGCAGUUUGCAUUCUCUCUGGUGUUCUCGGGUCGAAAAUUCUGCCCCUGGACUCGACUGUAAAACGCAGUGAAGGGAAAGAUGAUCCUCCUUUUAUCACCACUCUUAAAUCCAGCAACAACAACAACAA